AAUGAACGUUGGCGGCGUGGAUUAGGCAUGCAAGUCGAGCGAGAACCCAGCAAUGGGGGACAGCGGCGAAAGGGACAGUAAUGUGUAGAUUAUCUGCCCUCGGGUCCGGGAUAGCUGCGGGAAACUGCAGGUAAUACCGGAUAACAUCUCCGAAUCAAAGGUGUGAUUCCGCCCGAGGAUGAGUCUGCAUCCUAUUAGCUUGUUGGUGGGGUAAUGGCCUACCAAGGCUUUGAUGGGUAGCGGGUGUGAGAGCACGACCCGCGUCAUUGGGACUGAGACACUGCCCAGACACCUACGGGUGGCUGCAGUCGAGAAUCUUCGGCAAUGGGCGCAAGCCUGACCGAGCGACGCCGCGUGUGGGAUGAAGGCCUUGGGUUGUAACCACUGUCAGAGGGGA
rnacentral:rRNA from 1 species